rnacentral:tRNA from 1 species
GCCACCUUAGCUCAGUCGGUAGAGCAAUUCCCUCGUAAAGAAUAGGUCGCCGGUUCGAUUCCGGCAGGUGGCUCAA